GACGAACGCUGGCGGCGUGCCCAAUACAUGCAAGUAGAACGCUGAAGGAGGAGCUUGCUUCUCUGGAUGAGUUGCGAACGGGUGAGUAACGCGUAGGUAACCUGCCUGGUAGCGGGGGAUAACUAUUGGAAACGAUAGCUAAUACCGCAUAAUAGUAGAUGUUGCAUGACAUUUGCUUAAAAGGUGCAAUUGCAUCACUACCAGAUGGAUCUGCGUUGUAUUAGCUAGUUGGUGGGGUAACGGCUCACCAAGGCGACGAUACAUAGCCGACCUGAGAGGGUGAUCGGCCACACUGGGACUGAGACACGGCCCAGACUCCUACGGGAGGCAGCAGUAGGGAAUCUUCGGCAAUGGACGGAAGUCUGACCGAGCAACGCCGCGUGAGUGAAGAAGGUUUUCGGAUCGUAAAGCUCUGUUGUAAGAGAAGAACGAGUGUGAGAGUGGAAAGUUCACACUGUGACGGUAUCUUACCAGAAAGGGACGGCUAACUACGUGCCAGCAGCCGCGGUAAUACGUAGGUCCCGAGCGUUGUCCGGAUUUAUUGGGCGUAAAGCGAGCGCAGGCGGUUAGAUAAGUCUGAAGUUAAAGGCUGUGGCUUAACCAUAGUACGCUUUGGAAACUGUUUAACUUGAGUGCAAGAGGGGAGAGUGGAAUUCCAUGUGUAGCGGUGAAAUGCGUAGAUAUAUGGAGGAACACCGGUGGCGAAAGCGGCUCUCUGGCUUGUAACUGACGCUGAGGCUCGAAAGCGUGGGGAGCAAACAGG
rnacentral:rRNA from 1 species